GAUGAACGCUGGCGGCGUGCAUAACACAUUCAAGUCGAACGAGGUAGCAAUACCUAGUGGCGGACGGGUGAGUAACACGUGAGCAACCUGCCUUUCAGAGGGGAAUAACGGCUGGAAACGGUCGCUAAUACCGCAUAACAUACACUUUAGGCAUCUUUAGUGUAUCAAAGAUUUUAUCGCUGAAAGAUGGGCUCGCGUCUGAUUAGAUAGUUGGUGAGGUAACGGCUCACCAAGUCGACGAUCAGUAGCCGGACUGAGAGGUUGAACGGCCACAUUGGGACUGAGACACGGCCCAGACUCCUACGGGAGGCAGCAGUGGGGAAUAUUGCACAAUGGGCGCAAGCCUGAUGCAGCAACGCCGCGUGAGGGAAGACGGUUUUCGGAUUGUAAACCUUUGUCUUUGGUGAAGAAGAAAGUGACGGUAACCAAGGAGGAAGCCACGGCUAACUACGUG
rnacentral:rRNA from 1 species